rnacentral:lncRNA from 1 species
UUGUACUUCCUACUGAUGCUUCUCAAUAUUUUUUAGUGGAGACCAAAUUGGUGGAGAUGGUUUCCCCCUUCAGCAACCCUCGGAGCUUAGAAGAAAAUUGUUCAUUAGGAUAAUCUUCUGACUCAUAUGUUUUCUCGAUCGACCCCAACAAUAGGGUGUGCAGUUCAAUCGAUGGGUGCUCGAUGCCUUUUUAGGAAUGUUUUUUUCAGAUUGAAG